GAUGAACGCUGGCGGCGUGCCUAAUACAUGCAAGUCGAGCGAACGGACGAGAAGCUUGCUUCUCUGAUGUUAGCGGCGGACGGGUGAGUAACACGUGGAUAACCUACCUAUAAGACUGGGAUAACUUCGGGAAACCGGAGCUAAUACCGGAUAAUAUUUUGAACCGCAUGGUUCAAAAGUGAAAGACGGUCUUGCUGUCACUUAUAGAUGGAUCCGCGCUGCAUUAGCUAGUUGGUAAGGUAACGGCUUACCAAGGCAACGAUGCAUAGCCGACCUGAGAGGGUGAUCGGCCACACUGGAACUGAGACACGGUCCAGACGCCUACGGGAGGCAGCAGUAGGGAAUCUUCCGCAAUGGGCGAAAGCCUGACGGAGCAACGCCGCGUGAGUGAUGAAGGUCUUCGGAUCGUAAAACGCUGUUAUUAGGGAAGAACAUAUGUGUAAGUAACUGUGCACAUCUUGACGGUACCUAAUCAGAAAGCCACGGCUAACUACGU
rnacentral:rRNA from 1 species